rnacentral:rRNA from 1 species
GAUGAACGCUGGCGGUAUGCUUAACACAUGCAAGUCGAACGGACUCUUCGGAGUUAGUGGCGGACGGGUGAGUAACGCGUGAGAAUCUGGCUUUGGGUUCGGGACAACCACUGGAAACGGUGGCUAAUACCGGAUGUGCCGAGAGGUAAAAGAGAAAUUGCCUGAAGAUGAGCUCGCGUCUGAUUAGCUAGUUGGUGAGGUAAGGGCUCACCAAGGCAGCGAUCAGUAGCUGGUCUGAGAGGAUGACCAGCCACACUGGGACUGAGACACGGCCCAGACUCCUACGGGAGGCAGCAGUGGGGAAUUUUCCGCAAUGGGCGAAAGCCUGACGGAGCAAUACCGCGUGAGGGAAGAAGGCUCUUGGGUUGUAAACCUCUUUUCUUAGGGAAGAACAAAAUGUCGGUACCUAAGGAAUCAGCAUCGGCUAACUCCGUG